GUUUUUCAUAUAUGUAUCUAUCCUUUUCUUGAGGUCUAAUUUCCUGUUGCCAUUUUUUGGUUUUGUUUUACCACCGUCUAUAAUGUGCCCCUUCUCUGCGCAUUUGCUUGUCGUGUUGGUCCAAAAGCAUUCAAACAUAGAUGGUAGUCAAAGUCAGCAGCUUUUGAGCAAGAAAAGAGAAGAAACUAUCAAACAAACAUAGUUCUCAAAACUUGAAAAUGACAA
rnacentral:misc_RNA from 1 species